rnacentral:rRNA from 1 species
UACGUAGGGUCCGAGCGUUGUCCGGAAUUACUGGGCGUAAAGAGCUCGUAGGUGGUUUGUCGCGUUGUUCGUGAAAACUCACAGCUCAACUGUGGGCGCGCGGGCGAUACGGGCAGACUGGAGUACUGCAGGGGAGUCUGGAAUUCCUGGUGUAGCGGUGGAAUGCGCAGAUAUCAGGAGGAACACCGGUGGCGAAGGUGGGUCUCUGGGCAGUAACUGACGCUGAGGAGCGAAAGCGUGGGGAGCGAACAGG